rnacentral:rRNA from 1 species
UACGAAGGGGGCUAGCGUUGUUCGGAAUCACUGGGCGUAAAGCGCACGUAGGCGGAUUGGUAAGUCAGGGGUGAAAUCCCGAGGCUCAACCUCGGAACUGCCUUUGAUACUGGCGAGCUAGAGUCCGGGAGAGGUGAGUGGAACUGCGAGUGUAGAGGUGAAAUUCGUAGAUAUUUGUAAGAACACCAGUGGCGAAGGCGGCCCACUGGACCAAGACUGACGCUGAGGUGCGAAAGCGUGGGGAGCAAACAGG